rnacentral:rRNA from 1 species
CUAUUAGACGGCUGGAUCUUAUUUACACGCGUGUAAAAACAGAUAGAGGAGGUCAAUGCCGCUUCGGUGGCUGCUUCUUUUCGGGCACGCAAGUCCGCCGUGGCUACGCGUACGUUUUCGCGUGCCUUCGCGCAGGGGAGCGGAGUUGUGCGCUCGAUGCGUGUGUGCUAGCGUGCAAACGUGGGUGCCGCGCUCGGGUGUCUUCUCUGUCUUUUCUUCGCGCGACUGUGCGUCGCGUCUUCUUGCGCGUAGACAAACGUUGUUUCUUCUUAGAGGUAUUGACGACUCUACAUAAGUCGUACGAGAGAGAGAGCAAUAACAGGUCUGUGAUGCCCUUAGAUGCCCUGGGCCGCACGCGAGCUACAAUGCCGGGUACAGCGGGUCUAACUUCCUUCGCCGAGAGGCGCGGGUAACCCUCUGAAAUCCCUUCUUUCCGACGGGGGAGACAUCGCGCAAGCGUCUGUCUCUCUUCGUUAGUCGGCUCGA